CUUUAACGUGUUCUGGGACACAAAGAAUCUCAGCCCCUCUCAUGUUUCCGCUAUUAAGGCUAGUCAUCCAAAUGCUAAAGUUGCUCUGAGUCUUGGAGGAGAUACUGUAAAAGGUAACCAGUAUGCAUACUUCAGUCCUACAUCAAUCAAUUCUUGGGUCAGAAAUGCUAUUGCUUCAAUAGUUCAGAUAACGAAAGAAUACGAGUUGGACGGAAUUGAUAUCGACUGUGAACACUUCCAGACAGAUCCCAAUACAUUUGCUGAAUGCAUUGGGCGACUAUUAUUCCACCUUAAACAAAAUAAUGUUGUGUCCUUCACAUCAAUUGCACCAUAUGAAGAUGAUUCCGUGCAACCAUAUUACUUGGCAUUGUGGAGGAAGUAUGGGCACCUCAUUGACUAUGUUAACUUUCAGUUUUAUGCCUAUAGUAAGGGCACAACAGUAACUCAGUUUAUGAAAUAUUUUGAGACCCAGAGCUCAAAUUACAAAGGUGGCAAGAUUCUAGUGAGCAUUGGAACAGACAAUAGUGGGGGUUUGUCUCCUAAAAAUGGGUUCUUUGAGGCUUGUGCUAGGCUUAAAAGUCAGGGAAAGCUUCAUGGCAUUUUUAUUUGGUCCGCAGACGACUCCAAGAAGGCUUCUUUUCAUCAUGAGAAUCAAUCACAAAGAUUUCUUGCUAGCUAAUUUUUUUAUCUUUUUUUUUUAUCUGCUCUUAUUGUAUUCUUUAAUGAAAAAAAUAAAAAAGCUCAGACCCUUUACACUGGUAAACCUUUCACCUUAAACAAAGCAGAAUUCUCUGGCUUUUAAGUAUUCAGUUUUGAACUAAUGAUUUGUUUGGAGUGCCUUUCUUUUUUGUUUCAAUUUAAUGAGCUAGUAUGAAGGUAAGAAUGGAAAUGAAAUAUUCAAAAACUAACCAAACAAACACCAUAGAAUUCCAACCAAACAAAGUUGGUAGAGAGAAUUUGGUUAAAGAAAUGAAAAUGGAAGCACUAAUGAGAAAGUAUCAUACCUUGUAGACCUCUCAAGCACAUAAGUGGGUUCCAUUGUCUUUUGGUAAACACUAACUAUUCAAACUCCAAUGAGUAUGAGCCUUUGGAAAACACUGUGAGACAUGUUCAACUAUCUGCAUCUCCACAACUUCAUUUUAUUGUAGCACCACUAACUCAUGCAAUAAAAGCGCAUAAUGAUAUGUCAUAGCAGAUAUGCAAAAACAGGGCUUCCACCAAUUCAAUCUUAAAUCAUAUAUCCAAAAGCAGAGGAAUGUCAAACAUGAAGCAAAGGACAACACAACAUAAAUCGAAAAGACAAAAGAUCAUAACAAACUGG
rnacentral:lncRNA from 1 species